rnacentral:rRNA from 1 species
UACGUAGGGUGCAAGCGUUGUCCGGAAUUAUUGGGCGUAAAGAGCUCGUAGGCGGUGUGUCGCGUCGGCCGUGAAAACCUGCAGCUUAACUGUGGGCUUGCGGUCGAUACGGGCAUCACUGGAGUUCGGCAGGGGAGACUGGAAUUCCUGGUGUAGCGGUGAAAUGCGCAGAUAUCAGGAGGAACACCGGUGGCGAAGGCGGGUCUCUGGGCCGAUACUGACGCUGAGGAGCGAAAGCGUGGGGAGAGAACAGG